GACGAACGCUGGCGGCGUGCUUAACACAUGCAAGUCGAACGAGAGCGUAGAGAAAGCUUGCUUUUUCUACAAUCUAGUGGCAAACGGGUGAGUAACGCGUAAACAACCUGCCCUACGGAUGGGGACAACAGCUGGAAACGGCUGCUAAUACCGAAUACGUUCCGAAAGUCGCAUGACUAUCGGAAGAAAGGAUGGCCUCUAUUUAUAAGCUAUCGCCGGAGGAGGGGUUUGCGUCUGAUUAGCUAGUUGGAGGGGUAACGGCCCACCAAGGCGACGAUCAGUAGCAGGUCUGAGUGGAUGGACGGCCACAUUGAAACUGAGACACAGUCCAGACCCCUACGGGAGGCAGCAGUAGCGAAUCUUCCGCAAUGGGCGAAAGCCUGGCGGGGCAACGCCGCGUGAGUGAAGCCGGCCUUCGGGUUGUAAAGCUCUGUUAUACGGGACGAAUAAUCUUGUGGUUAAUACCCAUGAGAAGUGCCGGUACCGUAAGAGAAAGCCACGGCUAACUACGUG
rnacentral:rRNA from 1 species